GACGAACGCUUGCGGCGUGCUUAACACAUGCAAGUCGAACGGAAAGGCCCUGCUUUUGUGGGGUGCUCGAGUGGCGAACGGGUGAGUAACACGUGAGUAACCUGCCCUUGACUUUGGGAUAACUUCAGGAAACUGGGGCUAAUACCGGAUAGGAGCUCCUGCUGCAUGGUGGGGGUUGGAAAGUUUCGGCGGUUGGGGAUGGACUCGCGGCUUAUCAGCUUGUUGGUGGGGUAGUGGCUUACCAAGGCUUUGACGGGUAGCCGGCCUGAGAGGGUGACCGGCCACAUUGGGACUGAGAUACGGCCCAGACUCCUACGGGAGGCAGCAGUGGGGAAUAUUGCACAAUGGGCGGAAGCCUGAUGCAGCAACGCCGCGUGCGGGAUGACGGCCUUCGGGUUGUAAACCGCUUUCGCCUGUGACGAAGCGUGAGUGACGGUAAUGGGUAAAGAAGCACCGGCUAACUACGUGCCAGCAGCCGCGGUGAUACGUAGGGUGCGAGCGUUGUCCGGAUUUAUUGGGCGUAAAGGGCUCGUAGGUGGUUGAUCGCGUCGGAAGUGUAAUCUUGGGGCUUAACCCUGAGCGUGCUUUCGAUACGGGUUGACUUGAGGAAGGUAGGGGAGAAUGGAAUUCCUGGUGGAGCGGUGGAAUGCGCAGAUAUCAGGAGGAACACCAGUGGCGAAGGCGGUUCUCUGGGCCUUUCCUGACGCUGAGGAGCGAAAGCGUGGGGAGCGAACAGGCUUAGAUACCCUGGUAGUCCACGCUGUAAACGGUGGGUACUAGGUGUGGGGUCCAUUCCACGGGUUCCGUGCCGUAGCUAACGCUUUAAGUACCCCGCCUGGGGAGUACGGCCGCAAGGCUAAAACUCAAAGGAAUUGACGGGGCCCCGCACAAGCGGCGGAGCAUGCGGAUUAAUUCGAUGCAACGCGUAGAACCUUACCUGGGUUUGACAUGGAUCGGGAGUGCUCAGAGAUGGGUGUGCCUCUUUUGGGGUCGGUUCACAGGUGGUGCAUGGCUGUCGUCAGCUCGUGUCGUGAGAUGUUGGGUUAAGUCCCGCAACGAGCGCAACCCUUGUUCACUGUUGCCAGCACGUUAUGGUGGGGACUCAGUGGAGACCGCCGGGGUCAACUCGGAGGAAGGUGGGGAUGACGUCAAGUCAUCAUGCCCCUUAUGUCCAGGGCUUCACGCAUGCUACAAUGGCUGGUACAGAGAGUGGCGAGCCUGUGAGGGUGAGCGAAUCUCGGAAAGCCGGUCUCAGUUCGGAUUGGGGUCUGCAACUCGACCUCAUGAAGUCGGAGUCGCUAGUAAUCGCAGAUCAGCAACGCUGCGGUGAAUACGUCCCCGGGGCU
rnacentral:rRNA from 1 species